rnacentral:tRNA from 1 species
GUCCCCAUCAUCUAGUGGUCGAGGACAUCUCUCUUUCAAGGAGGUACCGGGGAUUCGACUUCCCCUGGGAUA